rnacentral:rRNA from 1 species
AGAGAAUAGAUACCCUGGUAGUCCAUGCUGUAAACGAUGAGAACUAGAUGUUAGGGGCAUGACCUCUUAGUAUCGAAGCUAACGCGAUAAGUUCUCCGCCUGGGGAGUACGGCCGCAAGGUUAAAACUCAAAGAAAUUGACGGGGGCCCGCACAAGCGGUGGAGCAUGUGGUUUAAUUCGAUGCAACGCGAAGAACCUUACCUACCUUUGAAUCCACGGAACCUAGCAGAGAUGUUGGGGUGCCUUCGGGAGCCGUGAGACAGGUGCUGCAUGGCUGUCGUCAGCUCGUGUCGUGAGAUGUUGGGUUAAGUCCCGUAACGAGCGCAACCCUUGUCCUUAGUUGCCAUCAGGUUAUGCUGGGCACUUUAAGGAGACUGCCGGUGAUAAACCGGAGGAAGGUGGGGAUGACGUCAAGUCCUCAUGGCCCUUACAGGUAGGGCUACACACGUGCUACAAUGGGCAGUACAGAGGGAAGCCAACCCGCGAGGGGUAGCGAAUCUCAUAAAGCUGUUCGUAGUCCGGAUUGGAGUCUGCAAC